GGGGAAUUAGCUCAGCUGGGAGAGCGCCUGGUUUGCAACCAGGAGGUCACCGGUU
rnacentral:tRNA from 1 species